UACGUAGGGUGCAAGCGUUUGUCCGGAAUUAUUGGGCGUAAAGAGCUCGUAGGCGGUUUGUUGCGUCGGCUGUGAAAUCCCGAGGCUCAACCUCGGGUCUGCAGUCGAUACGAGCAAACUAGAGUGUUGCAGGGGAGACUGGAAUUCCUGGUGUAGCGGUGAAAUGCGCAGAUAUCAGGAGGAACACCGGUGGCGAAGGCGGAUCUCUGGGCCUUGCCUGACGCUGGAGGCGCGAAAAGCUAGGGGGAGCGAACAGG
rnacentral:rRNA from 1 species